UGCCAGCAGCCGCGGUAAUACAGGGAGGGCGAGCGUUAUUCGGUGUUAUUAGGCGUAAAGCGUACGUAGACUAAAAUUGUAGGAAUUGGUUAAAUAGCAAAGCUUAACUUUGGAAAUGCUUGUUUCUGAAUAAUUUUUUGAGUUUGAAUAAGGAUGGUGGAAUUGCUAAAGUAAGGGUAAAAUCUUUAAAUAUUAGUAGGAAUGCCAAAGGCGCAGGCAGCUAUCUGGUUCAAUACUGACGUUGAGGUACGAAAGUGUGGGUAGCAAACAGGAUUAGAUA
rnacentral:rRNA from 1 species